rnacentral:tRNA from 1 species
GGGGACGUAGCUCAAUUGGCAGAGCAAUUAACACCGUCAGCCGCUCUUUGCCUCAUGGGCCGUUGGAAGAUGGUUAUCGCUCAUAACGAAUAGGUUGCAGGUUCGAGUCCUGCCGUCCCCACCA